UUUUUUGAUAUGGAGUCUCACUCUGUCACCCAGGCUGGAGUGCAGUGGCGUGAUCUCGGCUCACUGCAAGCUCCGCCUCCCGGGUUCACGUCAUUCUCCUGCCUCAGCCUCCCAAGUAGUUGGGACUACAGGUGCCCGCCACCACGCCCGGCUAAGUUCUUGUUUUUUAGUAGAGACAGGGUUUCACCGUGUUCGACAGGAUGGUCUCAAUCUCCCGACCUCGUGAUCCACCCGCCUCGGCCUCCCAAAGUGCUGGGAUUACAGGCUUGAGCCACCAUGCCCGGCCGAAAUCGGUCUUAAUGUCAUCCCCAUUUCACAGCUGAGGAUACUGAGACACCAAGAGAAGGAGUUUGCCUAAAGUCACUUAGUAAAUGGAAGGGCACAUCUUUGAACUAGCAAUCUGGCUCCAGAGUCCACUUACCUAACCCCGUGCAGUGUGGCCUCUCAGUAGUAUGUCUACUAAUGUACUUAAAAAGAGCACACGCUGCACUUAUGUAUGUUUUUGUUUAACUUGUGGACAAAGACUUAUGGAUAGGUGCAACAAAUAAAUCCUCUUUUGCAACCCAGAACUCAUUGUUCAGCAUGAGUUUUGAUACAUACAGGAAGGGAUAUUUUGAUACCUGAGACAGUUAACUGAUGGGAGUAUUGAUAGCCAUAAAGGUUGGUUCCAGGCCAGGCACAGUGGCUCAUGCCUGCAAUGCCCACACUGAGGUGGGAGUAUUGCUUUAAGCCAGGAGUUCAAGAUCAGCCUGGGCAAGAAAGUAACACCUCAUCUCCACAAAAAUUUAAAAAUUAGCUGGAUAUCAGGGCAUGUGUCUGUAGUUGCAGCUACUCAGGAAGGGGAGGCUAAGGAAAGAGGAUUGAGCCCAGGAGUCAGAGGCUGCACUGACCUUUGAUGGCACCACUGUACCCCCAGCCUAGGUAACAAAGACAGACCGUGUCUCUUAAUUUAAAAAAAAAGUUUCCUGGCUAACACGGUGAAAACCUGUCUCUACUAAAAAAACAAAAAAUUAGCCGGGCAUGGUGGCAGGAGCCUGUAGUCCCAGCUACUUGGGAGGCUGAGGCAGGAGAAGGGCGUGAACCCGGGAGGUGGAGCUUCCUGUGAGCCGAGAUUGCACCACUGCACUCCAGCCUGGGCAACAGAGCGAGACUCCGUCUCAAAACAAAAAAAAAAAAAAAACAAAAAAAAACAAAGUUUAUUCUAGGACUGUAGAAUAGAUAGUUAAACAGCAUGGGAUACGAGGGAAAUCCUCAGUUGUAUUAAUUUUAUAUUCCAAUUUCAUGUUGACUUGAUACAUAGGAUGGCUUUUUGUUUUAAAGGCUUUUAUCUUGAGAGCAUGAUGUCUGGAGUUAAAGGUAUUGGCAUAUUCCACACAUCUGUACUAUUCUUGAGUGCGAUCGCUUAGGAAUGAAUAUGAUUUGAACUAAA
rnacentral:lncRNA from 1 species